AGGGGGCCUCGAGCAUGCACAUGGCCGCAUGGAAUUCAGGGGGGAUUUCUGGGUUGGGCAAGGCGGUAAGGUUUUCAUGGCCUUCAAGGACGCCGGAUUCUGAGUAGGGGAAGGGAAUGGCAAGGAGCUGGAUUUGGUGGUGGCGAGAGUCGUUGCUGAGGUCUAUGGUCGGUUGGAUGAGGGGGACGUUUGCAGUGGUGGUGAUGAUGGUGGCCUUGGCUCCACGAUCAGCUAAGAGCCUAGCAAGGUCGAUCAUGGGAAUCAUGUGGCCCGGGGCAAGAAAUGGCAAGAAGAAGAUGUGGACAUCCAUGGGAAUCUAACCAGAGAUUAGAGAAGUGCUUCUUUUUAUUUGCAAUAUUUUAGUUAGGUUCCAAUUAGCAAAGUCGGGGAGGUGGAUUAUAUAUUCUUCCGAAGUCUUCUGUCCUUUACGAUUAUUCAAAGAACAGAAAUGGUAGGCCGGCGUCGAGGCAACUCUUCGGACCAGAUGUAGGCCAAAUGCCAGUGGCGUGGAAAAGCUGGGAUGGAGCUUUGGCCCUCUCGUUUACCUUCACGGCACUCGCUUUCCCUUCUCUAAGCAAUGACGUCAGCUAGCUUCGUUGUUUUCUAGGACAUCUCGGUGGCUCCGCCAUAUCUUUCUGUCUUAUCUAACGUGGCAUGCAUGCCAUCGGCUCUGGUCAUAUCUGUCAUGCUACAGGCUGUAGAUGACCAACAUAAAGAGAGAGAAAACUACUGUAAAGAAUAAAAAACUAAACAAUAUUAUUAACUUUAACCAUACUGUAUAAAUGAGAAUCGAUAAUUAUUUAUAUAGUUGCUAAGAACAACCAAAAAUAGACCUCAUCACUCAGAUAGAUUUUAUCAACUAGGUAAAGAUAAGAAAUGACUAUAGACUUAAUCAACUACCUAAUCUUAAUCUCAAAGAUAAACCGAAAAUCUGGAUAAACUUCAAUAGCCCACAUACAGAUGACAACUUAUUAUGCCCCGUCGCUACCCAGCUCGAGCAAAUUUGAAUGAGGCAGAUUUUACCCAUUUUGUAAUUUUUAAUUCUACCUGUCCUUCCUUGCUCCGAGUCUCUAAAUCCCAACCCUUCGCUCUGAAGCGAGUAUGAGUAAUGGCCUAUCCAACCCAUACCCAACCCACUGCCAUCUCUAAUCACCUUUAAUCCACAUUCAGUCAAUCUUAUGAUUCCCAUCACGUACUUAGGCUUGAUGAAUGAGUCAAACUUCAAAAGCUUGGUAAGAAUAUAUGCAACCUGGUUCUCUGACUUGUAAUAAACUAGUUGGACUUGAUUUUUAUUCACUUGAUCUCAGAGGAAGUGGAACCGUAUAUCUAUGUGCUUACUUCUUCCAUGCAUAACUGGAUUCUUUAUUAAAUCAAUAGCUCAAACAUUAUAAACAAAAAUCUUCACCAGCCCUUUUGAUUGGCAUGUGAAUCUGAUUGCAUAACUAGAAGUUGCCGCCACAUAUUAUUGAAGUUAGUUCAGAUUUCAAGUUUAUUUUUAUCCUUUGGGAUUAAGUCUGUUUAGUAGAUUAAGUUUAUCAUUAUGUUUUAUGUUUAUCUAGUUGAUGAGGUAUGUCUUUUAGAUGUUCAUCUUAUACUUGUUCUUAUCACUUGUAAAGCAAGUACAAUAAAUACUUGUUGAUUCUCAUUUGUACAACAUGGCCAAAGUUAAUAAAAAUUAUUUAGUUUCUCAUUCUUUGUAGUUUGCUCUCUUUGUGUUUGUUAGUUUGCUCCAUCAAACUGGUAUUAGAGCAACUCCCCUUCUACCAUCACUAGAGCGUGUUUUCCCUUUGCCACCAGAGCUAGUAGGGAUGUUUCCCCUUCUACAUCAUAGCUCCUUUGAUUGCUCGGAUCUUCAAAGCGGACCUCUGCUUUCGCCCAACCCUUAGCCUCACGAGCGAUACUCAGAUUAUCAAGAUCUGCUAUAUCUUCGAUGGGAUCCGCCACAUCUUCAAUAGCGGCCCUCUUCCAUCGUUGGCUUUUGGAGACUAGUGUCUUCUCUAUCGCUAGCGUUUCCUUCUCCACCAGCUUCUAUCUCUGCUUCUCGCAGCCAAUCGAGUCCAAUUUGCAGCACCUAACGGCUGAAUUCAACCAUCUUUUCUCAUAUUAGAUGGAAAAAAUUUUGAUUGUUGGAGUAUCCAGAUGAAGGUUUUCUUUGGUUAUCUAGAAAUUCUUACAUUGUGUUUGGUUGGAUUCACGAGAGGAAGGAUGAAUGAGAUUGGAAGGAUAGAUGGAUGAAAAGAAGGGAUUAUCCAUCCUAUGUAUCUCGAUUGUUAACCACGAAAAUGAGAUACAUUUGAAAUAUGGUAAAGGGCUUUCAUCCAUUUGCUCUCGUUUGAAUUGUCAAGGCUAAUACUCGGAGAUACAUUGGCACAAAUAGUUUAAUUCUCAAAGUUUGAACUGUCACUUUUUUGGCCUUCUCGACUCGUUUAUAAAAUCGUUCUAAAUAUCCCAUGUUUGCUUUUCUAUAAUUGCCCCAAAGAUCUUCCCAAAUACUACCUGAUGAAUGAAGAAUAAUGCCUUUCGAUCCUUGUUCUCCCGGUAGGCUUGUCGCUGGGUGUCAGUUGGAUACUCCCGAAGUUUAGUAACUCCAACCUCCACAACAUUAACUCACUUGUUUGGUUUGAAGGAUGGAUUGGAGGAAUGAUUGCUGGGGAAGAAAAGAAGGAUGAGGGAGAGGAUGAAUGGAUGAGACAUGAGAAAAAGAAUGGAUGAUAUCUAUGCAAUAUUUCUACUAAACUACCAUUUGAUAACAAACAAAAAAGAUAGCAAAUUACGAAGGAGGAAAAACUAAACAAAAAAGCUUUUACUAACAUUGGCCCCACUGUAUUAUAAAUGAGAUUCAACAAACAUAUAUAAUAGUUACUUUACAAGUGAUAAGAACGACUAAAAGAUAAACAUAUCCAUCAAUUGGAUCGACUUUGUCCAAGACAAUGAACUUAAUCUCAAAAGAUAAAGAUAAACUAAAAAAAUGAACUAACUUCAAUAUUAGAAACAUGAAUGCAAUUUUCUUCAAAAAGUUUAUGAACAAGUAGACGUGUAGCUAUUGGACAGGCACUUGGCUUGAGACAAUGUCCCCCUGUUUUGUCUCUAAAGAGAAGAAAAAUUAAACGGCAAGCUAUGCAUUCGGUUCCGCACCUCAUCAUAGACCAUGCUGCUUUCGGACUCCAGAGUAGGCGCUUGUGUGCUGGAAUUCUCGGGUUUUAUUUUAUUUUAUUUUACGGCGGUCGCCUUACAUUACAUAGUCCUGGAAUAGAUACAUCCAGGACAGAGUCCAGGUGCUCUGCUCCUGGGUUACUGGCCCCUUUAUCGGUAUUCCAAAUUCAAAACAAAUGCACGAGAAAAGAAACAGAGCGGUCAUCUUGCUUAUUGGCGGACCGAGGCUCUAGGCCAGGGGAAGAGUGGACCAUCUUGGAAUUCGAAACAUGGAAAUUAUGAGGAUGGAAUCAGUCGCUUCACUAUAAACAUCUGCCGGUGCCUCCCGGGAAGGGCUGAAUUCUGAGUAACCAAAGGGAUCGUCCAGGAGCAUAAUGCUAAGUUCUCUCCUUAAACCAUACUGUAACCGAUAAAAAGAACUGAACCGAAGGGGUUGCCCUGAUAUAUCAGGAUUAGAUCAUAUGUGAUAUGGUUUUUAGUUAUCCUAUCAUGCUUCGCCAAAAUCAUGCGAUGAUUGACCUGGUUCUUUUCUACUGGCCAUGCCCCGCGGCACCCAAUGGAAACCCCUCUUUUUGCCUCACAGGUAGGAUAUCACCUUUUUUUUUUUUUUCUUUUUUUUUUUUUUUUCAAGAGGCCUCCACCAGAGUCCUGUCAAGACUUUUGGCAGACUACUCUGGUUUUAUCUUUUUAUUUUUUUAUUUUUAACUUUAUGAGAGGAGACAGUCAUUGGACUACACCAUAGGUUAACCUCAAAACCAAACCUAACCCAAAAGUUUCAAUGGGUUUGACUUUGGUUCCACAGCCAACGCAUGCAUGAUUGGGUUUGCGUUGUGUUUGUGUUUCGUGCCAGUUUGUGGAUUGGAGUGAGAAUUCCAAAUCCAAAUAAAUGCUUUGAAAACUUUUGCAUCCAAGCAUCCUCCUCCAAAAGCCUUAUUUGCUAGCCAUGGGCUCCCGAUUUUACCCUAAAGGGGCCAUCGUGGCCGAGAAAGAUGGCCGAGUCAACUCAGAAGUCAUUAUCCUCUUGGCUGCAGUCCUCCCUAACCGUUCGAGCUCUUUUGGCUCGCUGUUGGACUUUGACGGGUGGCAGAAGCUGGCAUGGCGGCGAUCUCCCCCAAAGGACCAAUAGGCCGACGAUGGAGCCGACUCAGGCAUUGGUCUAGGGCGACUCAGGAAAACCGCUGAGCCGGGUCGAGCUAAAAUUUUGUAGAUUUAGAAGUUAGCAUAAAUUUUUUGUAAAUUGAAAACUAAAAGAUUUAAGAGAAUACGAACACCAAUUUCACCAUUUAAUAAGAACACCAAUUUCACCAAUUUCACCAAUUUCCCAACCUACAAAGCUUAUUUCUUUACAGAUAAGUUAUCUGUCAACCAAAAUUUGACUCAUUAUUUUCCACGUCAAGGAAGAAAAAAAACUAACAUGCCAACACAUGAAUAAAAUUGUAGAGAAAAAAAAAGUUUUGACCAUUACCAGUUUCAGCAGAGGAAAGGGAACUGAGCAGUGAUGAGAUGUGCGACCUUCAACUUUAUUCCCAAACAAAAAUACGUUAUGGAUUAGAGAUGAUCAGACCACUCUAAACCUGCGCUACACCCAAAAAUUACAUUCAAGGCACCAAAUUUAUUGCAGCUGUUCGCCCAAGCCAAUGAACACUGAAGUUGGAUCAUUCUCCAGCCUUAGCAGACUGGAUCUUACCAGCUUUAAGACUAAGCAAAUCCUCUAUCAAACUGCUCAAUUCAUUAUAAGAACCACCCCCUCCUCCACAGCUCUCCUUGCCAUCUUCCCUACCUCCCUUGCUCUCUCUCUCCUCCCAUCCGCUUCCUCUCCGCUUCCCAUCAACUCAUUUACCGCCCUCCUUAUCUCCUCCCUCCUCACCAUCAUCCUCUCUUCCUCCUUGCUACGGCAUACCUUCGCCCCGAUCGCAAUCCCGAUCCUGAGAACAUCCACAAUCAGCUUCUCAUUGAAGAAUUGCUCGCCAAAGAGCGGCCAAGUGAUCAUCGGCAAUCCGGCGCUCGCACCUUCCAUGCAGGAGUUCCAGCCACAGUGCGUCACAAAUCCCCCGACGACUUCAUGGUUCAAUAUAAGUAGCUGAGGUGCCCAUCCACUUAUGAUCAAUCCUCUCCCUCUACAUAUCACCCUCUCCUCAAACCCCUCCGGCAGCCAUUCCGACGGUUCACCGCCAUAUCUCACCACCCAAAUGAACGGGUGCGCCGAAGCCUCGAGGCCCGAAGCAAUCUCGCAAAGCUGAGUGCGGGUGAAUCGACCUAAGCUCCCAAAACAGAUGUAGAGAACCGAUCUCGGCUUCUUAGUAUCCAGCCAACUCAAGCAGCGGUCGCAGUCCGCGGAGGCCUUGUGUCCUCUCACUAGUUUAUCAUGCAGGUUCUGAUUGCGUAGCGACACCGGGCCGACUUGCCACAGUUUCAUGUCGCCUCUCUCCUUAAGUUGAUCGACAUAGUCGUGCUCCAUCUCAUGGAAGCUAUUUACUAUCGUGCCAUAAGUCGAGCGAUGGGAGUCACCCAACUGUUUAUAGAAGUCGCUAAGUGGGGUUCCUAUAAUGAAGCCCGGGAGCUGCGACCGUGUCAUCUCAAUCCGAUGGGGAAUCUCCGGCACAACAAAGGGCUGCUCGUCGCUAGCGACGCUCUCGUGGGGCUUGAGACGACCGAUGGCACCGACGAGGAUGAUAGAGAAGAAGCUCGUAAUGUGGAGGAGAAGCCUUGGUAUGCCGAGCUCAAGGGCGAGGCUGGCCGACCACGGGUAGAAGACGUCGGAUAUGAUGCAGUCGGGGUGGUGGUCAUUGGCAAGCUGCCUAAAGGGAGCCUCGAGCAUGCAGAUGGCCGCAUAGAAUUCAGGGGUGAGGUCUGGGUUGGAGAAGGCGGUAAUGUUUUCAUGGCCUUCAAGGAUGCCUGAUUCUGAAUAGGGGAAGGGAAUGGCAAGGAGCUGGAUUUGGUGUUGGAGAGAAUUGUUGGCGAGGUCUAUGGUCGGUUGGAUGAGGGGGACAUUUGCAGUGGUUGUGAUGAUGGUGGCCUUGGCUCCACGGUCAGCGAAGAGCCUAGCAAGGUCGAUCAUGGGAAUCAUAUGGCCCGGGGCAAGAAAUGGCAAGAAGAAGAUGUGGAGAUCCAUGGAAAUCUAACCAGGGACUAGAGAAGAGCUUCUUUU
rnacentral:lncRNA from 1 species